rnacentral:tRNA from 1 species
UGCUCCUUAGUGUAAGAAACAUAUCUGGUUUGCACCCAGAAGAUGGAAGUGAUUCUUUCAGGAGCAG